rnacentral:pre_miRNA from 13 species
GCUUGGGAGACAUACUUCUUUAUACGCCCAUAUGGACUUGCUGCACUAUGGAAUGUAAAGAAGUAUGUACCCCAGGC